rnacentral:rRNA from 1 species
CCUGGGCGCAAGCCUGAUCCAGCAAUCCCGUGUGUGUGAUGAAGGCCCUAGGGUUGUAAAGCACUGUCAGUAGGGACGAAUUGCUUCGGGUAACGCCGAANAGUGACGGUACCUACAGAGGAAGGACCGGCUAACUCCGUGCCAGCAGCCGCGGUAAUACGGAGGGUCCAAGCGUUGUUCGGAAUCACUGGGCGUAAAGCGCGUGUAGGCGGUUUCGUCANUCGGAUGUGAAAUCCCGGGGCUCAACCCCGGACGUGCAUCCGAUACUGCGAAACUAGAAUCCCGGAGGGGGUGGCGGAAUUCCUGGUGUAGAGGUGAAAUUCGUAGAUAUCAGGAGGAACACCCGUGGCGAAGGCGGCCACCUGGACGGGCAUUGACGCUGAGACGCGAAAGCGUGGGUAGCAAACAGGAUUAGAUACCCUGGUAGUCCACGCCGUAAACGAUGAGUGCUAGGUGUUGCGGGUAUUGACCCCUGCAGUGCCGAAGUUAACACAUUAAGCACUCCGCCUGGGGAGUACGGUCGCAAGAUUAAAACUCAAAGGAAUUGACGGG